rnacentral:rRNA from 1 species
UACGGAGGGGGCUAGCGUUGUUCGGAAUUAUUGGGCGUAAAGGGCGCGUAGGCGGCCUUGCAAGUGACGGGUGAAAUCCCUCGGCUUAACCGAGGAACUGCCUGUCAAACUGCGUGGCUUGAGACCAGGAGAGGUGAGUGGAAUUCCCAGUGUAGCGGUGAAAUGCGUAGAUAUUGGGAGGAACACCAGUGGCGAAGGCGGCUCACUGGACUGGUACUGACGCUGAUGCGCGAAAGCGUGGGGAGCAAACAGG